rnacentral:tRNA from 2 species
GCGUCUGUAGUAUAGUCUGGUCCAAUGCACCUGAUUGUCAAUCAGGAAAUCGCGGGUUCGAAUCCCGUCAGGCGCGC